rnacentral:sRNA from 1 species
ACGAUCGAUAACUAUUUUAUCGAUCGUUUAUAUCGAUCGAUAAAGCAAUAAUCACCCCUGUCAGUAAUUCUGAACAGACACAUACAGACAUGAGAUUCAGGGAACAGGACCACGCUUCAGAAACCUCCGUCUGCCGGACAUCCGGCACUGUAACCCUUUACCUGCCGGUAUCCACAUUUGUGGGUACCGGCUUUUUUAUUCACC